GGGCCAUAGCUCAGUAGCAGAGCAUCUGCCUUGCAAGCAGAAGGUCCUUGGUUCUAUCCUCGGCAUCUCCC